UGUUGCCUCUAGUGAGCCUUCACAUCAGCCU
rnacentral:piRNA from 1 species